UUGAACAGUUUGGCUUGCUGCUUGGGCAGACAAGGCUGCUGGGGCAUUGACUACUGGCAGACAAGGUGUGCAAGCAUGCUCUGAAGUAGUUGGCAGACACGGCAUGAUGGUGUGCUCUGACAAGGCUGACGGGCAUUGAAUGCCGCAUUGAAUGCUGGAGCAUGCGCGUGCUGGCGCGGAUGUUGAGGCGUUGGACACGUUUGAGCGCUGAUUCUGGACAGAAUUGGCGCGGGACGUGUCAUAUAGGCAUGUUUUAUACCCAUUCCCUUAAUUAAACAUGCAUAACCCACCAUAUUCACUAUAUGCCCCAAUAUUCAUACAAAAUAUUAUAGCCCAGAUACAUUAAAUUACAACAGUGAUAAAAGAAAAAUAAGAAGCUAUUCUAUAGGGAGCCUUCAGCCAGGCCAAACAUCUCCAACGUCACUUCUUUUGAGUUUCACAUCCAUUACCAAGGCUUUGGUGCGGCAAAGUUCCCUAAGGGUUCGUUUGAACCCCUGGGCAGUACCAAGCACCCAGAGUAUCACUAUUAGACAGGUGCAAGUGUGGAAAGUGCCAUCCUUGUGUAUCAAAGUUCAAUGGGUGCUCAAGGGCUCCCAAGGCAAUGUUUACACUAAGGGGGCAGAACCUAGGGUUGUAAAAAUAGUGAAGUUGUGAUAGGAUUGAGAGAGAUUAAAACAAUUGAGAGUCAGUUUAAGAAAAAGAGUUGAGAGACAGUUUGAGAAAGUAGUUUAACAGAGUUGAGAAAGUUGAAAGGAAUUCUUUUGAAAUCAUUGGUACUAACCAGUUUAAAAUAGAGCAUCACACAAACAGGGGCAAAGGAGGAGGGAACAGGUAAGUACAGGGACCUACUCACACACAGACAAACAUAAUGAAGGCCGGUAAUGAAACACGGUUACAACAAACAAGGGGUUUCAGUUCUUACUACACCAAACCCCAAAUACUUAACCUCAAGAAGAGGUUUUUAGGCUAAUCAAGUAGCCAAGCAGCCCUGGACACAUGGUGGUAAUACACAAGGAAAGUAAACAACAUUAAGACAGGGAAUGGGUAAGAGGAGCAUGCUUAGCUGAAACUAAGUAGGCUAGUGAGUGCAUACUAGUGAUAAGAACAUGAAAACCACAGGUAGAAGUAUACUAGGAACAAGAAGAAGUGCAGGGCUAACAAAAGCAUAUUGUUUUGGGGACUGGAUACUAAAUAGAUAACAUACCAGUUGUAGACAAAUCGAACACAAAGAGUAAUGAGCAAGAGUGCACAGAGAGAGCAAGGUGUGCAGCUAAUGUGAGCAGCAGAGAGAAUAGCAGUGUGAGAACAUCAGUAGGAGAAAACCAAGUAAGCAAAGCAAUAGAACCUAGUAGUGUAGAGGUAAACAUCCCAGGCUACUCAAUCUUGGCUUUCAGCCGAUUGAGUAUUCAAAUAAGAUAAUGAGAGAGUGUAGAGGUAGCAGGGAAAGUGAAAGAGAUAAUUCAGAGGGUUUGAAAUUAUGAGAGAGAUGUAGUGUGUGUGUUUUUUUUCAACAAAGGCGAGGAGUAUUUAUAAUACUGGAAAACGAGUACACAAACAAGCUGCAAUCUUUAAUUAAGGGACUAGUAUCAAUUAAGAGUCCAAUUAAUAUCAGUACUCCCCAUUAACUAAGGAGUCAAAGACAAAUGGUAACAAGCAUAGGUUUCAAAAAGGAAAAGAAUCAAUUAACUACGUUUACCCUAGUAAAAGUAACAAGAAUAUAGUAUUCAAUAAAGGUCAGAUACAUAGCAGCUUAGGUAAGGAAAAUAUAGGCUAAAGAUUCAGAUGGUUGUUUGUUCACAAAUAUGGUAAGAAAAUAUAAGCUAAUUCUACCAAUUAAUCAAAGAAUCUCGGACAAGGCCUAAAAAUCAGAGAGAAUUGUUUCUAAGUAAUGACGGCAUACCCAAGUAAGGAAAUAAUUCAAAAGAAAUAAAAUCGUCUAAGGACAAUCACAGACCAGUCAAGGAUUCACAGAGAUGUUCCGAAUCAGCAUGCUAUUGCACAAACGAUGACCACUCAAGCCUAUAAAGCAUAACAGACAUGGAUUUGAGAUAACCCUAAGUAGUUAAACAAAGGGUCGAAACCCUAGUCAAAGAAAUAAGGCAUGGAACCCAGGCUAACAAAGAAGCCAAACACUCCCAAAACAAACAAGCAUAAACAUAUAAUACUCUGAAAAAAGCAGAAGAAACGUUUUGGACAAAAGGGUCAGAAGCCCUAACUUUGAAAAAGAGGAGAAAUCAUAAUAAAAGAUAAUCAGAGAAUGAGAGUAGAAAACAAAGAAUCAAACUAAAAACCAUUUUAAAACCGAAAAUUAAAGACAUUUGAGUAGAAAAAAUUAGGGUUUGCAGACGAGUUAAAGAAAAGAGGAACAUGGCCGUGAAACCCCAUUAAUAACGCCAUGGAGAGCAUUAUCGUGUGAAAAUCAUUGGAGCAAGGCUGGCAAAGACUCAAGCGGGGCUCAAUCAACCGUCUUUUAUGGCGGAAGCCUCUAGGCUUCGAGUUUGAGAGAUAAACAACGAGAUCAGUACCAUGGUGAGUGGUGGUCAAGAGGAGAGAGGUUGGAGGUGGCCGGAACAGCAAGGAAAGCCAUCGAAGAAGAGAGAAGAACGAAGGUUCUAGAGAGAAUUUCAGAGACGAAAGGUUAGAGAGAGAGA
rnacentral:lncRNA from 1 species